rnacentral:rRNA from 1 species
CCUACGGGGGGCAGCAGUAGGGAAUCUUCCACAAUGGGCGAAAGCCUGAUGGAGCAACGCCGCGUGGGUGAAGAAGGUCUUCGGAUCGUAAAACUCUGUUGUUAGAGAAGAAAGUGCGUGAGAGUAACUGUUCACGUUUCGACGGUAUCUAACCAGAAAGCCACGGCUAACUACGUGCCAGCAGCCGCGGUAAUACGUAGGUGGCAAGCGUUAUCCGGAUUUAUUGGGCGUAAAGGGAACGCAGGCGGUCUUUUAAGUCUGAUGUGAAAGCCUUCGGCUUAACCGGAGUAGUGCAUUGGAAACUGGGAGACUUGAGUGCAGAAGAGGAGAGUGGAACUCCAUGUGUAGCGGUGAAAUGCGUAGAUAUAUGGAAGAACACCAGUGGCGAAAGCGGCUCUCUGGUCUGUAACUGACGCUGAGGUUCGAAAGCGUGGGUAGCAAACAGGAUUAAAUACCCGUGUAGUC